rnacentral:rRNA from 1 species
AACGAACGCUGGCGGCAUGCCUAACACAUGCAAGUCGAACGAUACUUUCGGGUGUAUUGGCGCACGGGUGGGGAACGGGUGGGAAGCGUCACUUAGGGUCGGAAUAACUCCCCGAGGGGGGUGCUAAUACGGGAUAAUUUCUUCGGACGAAAGAUGUAUCGCCUUUGGAUGGGCCGGCGUGGGAGUAGCCAGUUGGUAUGGUAAACGACUCCCAAGGCGACGAUCUAUAGCUGGUCUGAGAGGAUGGUCAGCCACACUGGGAGUGAGACACGGCCCAGACUCUUACGGGAGGCAGCAGUGGCGAAUAGUGCAAUAUGGGGGAAAGCCUGAUCCAGCACUGCCGCGUGAGUGAUGAAGGCCUUAGGGUUGUAAAGCUCUUUUACCCGGGAUGAUAAUGACAGUACCGGGAGAAUAAGCUCCGGCUAACUCCGUG